rnacentral:rRNA from 1 species
UACGAAGGGCCCGGGUGUUACUCGUUUUGAUUGGGUGUAAAGGGUAAGUAGGCGGCUUACUGGAGUUCCGAGCAAAAUCGCGGAGAGUUCCUCCGCGGGAGCUCGGUAUGUAGGGUAAUGGGCUAGUGUUGAAGAAAGGUCUAGGCAAAUUCGUAGGUAAGGGUAAAAUCUAUCGAACUACGAAUGAACACCAGCCGGCAAAGGCGCUUUUCCUGCUCAACAGACGCUGAGGUACGGAAGCGUAGGGAGCAAACGGG